rnacentral:tRNA from 1 species
UGGCUCAGUGGUAGAGCGCUUGCCUAGCAUGCAUGAGGCACUGGGUUUGAUUCUCAG